rnacentral:rRNA from 1 species
AUUGAACGCUGGCGGCAGGCCUAACACAUGCAAGUCGCGCGGAUGAAGGGAGCUUGCUCCUGGAUUCAGCGGCGGACGGUUGAGUAAUGCCUAUGAGUCUGCCUGGUAGUGGGGGAUCACGUCCUGAAACGGGCGCUAAUCCCGCAUACGUCCUGACGGGGAACCUGGGGGGUCUUCGGACCUCACGCUAUCAGAUGAGCCUAGGUCGGCUUAGCUAGUUGGUGGGGUAAAGGCCUACCAAGGCGACGAUCCGUAACUGGUCUGAGAGGAUGAUCAGUCACACUGGAACUGAGACACGGUCCAGACUCCUACGGGAGGCAGCAGUGGGGAAUAUUGGACAAUGGGCGAAAGCCUGAUACAGCAAUGCCGGGUGUGUGAAGAAGGUCUUCGGAUUGUAAAGCACUGUAAGUUGGGAGGAAGGGCAGUAAGUUAAUACCUGGCUGUUUUGACGGUACCAACAGAAUAAGCACCGGCUAACUUCGUG